rnacentral:rRNA from 1 species
GACAGAGGGUGCAAGCGUUGUUCGGAAUUAUUGGGCGUAAAGGGCGCGUAGGCGGCGCUGUAAGUCAGAUGUGAAAGCCCAGAGCUUAACUCUGGAAGUGCGUCUGAUACUGCAGUGCUCGAGUCCCGGAGAGGGUGGUGGAAUUCCCAGUGUAGAGGUGAAAUUCGUAGAUAUUGGGAGGAAUACCGGUGGCGAAGGCGACCACCUGGACGGUGACUGACGCUGAGGCGCGAAAGCGUGGGGAGCAAACAGG